rnacentral:rRNA from 1 species
GACGAACGUCUCGGCGGGCGGUGCCUAAUACAUGCAAGUAGAACGCUGAGGACGUGGUGCUUGCACUGGUCUAAGGAGUUGCGAACGGGUGAGUAACGCGUAGGUAACCUACCUCAUAGCGGGGGAUAACUAUUGGAAACGAUAGCUAAUACCGCAUGACAAUAGGGUACACAUGUACCCUAUUUAAAAGGGGCAAAUGCUUCACUAUGAGAUGGACCUGCGUUGUAUUAGCUAGUUGGUAAGGUAACGGCUUACCAAGGCGACGAUACAUAGCCGACCUGAGAGGGGUGAUCGGCCACACUGGGACUGAGACACGGCCCAG